AUUGUCAGGAAUGGUUCUGCUGCUGGUCAUCCUGGUUCUCAUCCGCUGCUGCUGCUGCUGCUGUUGUAAUGAUGAGAAGCCACGCAGAUGGAAGGUGGGCAUAGACAACGUGGCUAUGGAGCCAUGACAGCUGAAAUGAUGAAGUGUUGUGAAGGUGACUGAUGAAGCAGAGUCUCAGUUUGACUCCUGUGCCAAAGCAGCAGCUUUGAUUUUACUGUUUUACUGUCUGUUAACAAAUGUGCACAUAGAAUGAAAUGUUCACAAGCCAUUCACUCCUGGAAAUCUACCUAUGUGAUGUUGUUGACUGUCACUGCUGUGUGUUGUUUAUUGCUAGGAAACCAGAGGAGGUGGAAACUCUCAGCUGUCUCUGUAGUUCUCAACACAAGUCUCCUGUUCCAUUUGUUCAUUUUUUGAUUUGAAGGUUUUAUUCAGUGAUAAAAGUAAUAAAAAUGUAAAUGUU